GCAAUUCUACUUCCUAGUAAAUUACAUGGCAGUAUGCACAGUCAUUCAACAGUGCUUCUGUACUUGGGUUCUGUUCUGUAUUUCCAUAGAGCAAGGCUCUGUGGUGUAACUUACAAUCAGUUUGGAUUCUUGAUUUCAUCGGGCAUGCAUGUCCCGCGGUCAAUUUAGGAAUCAGUUACGGGAAUAUGCUUCAUUAAAGCUAAAUAACCACACUGCAGUAAGUAACAACAACCGUAGCAACGGCACUAAGCCGACACUAGCCGACAACAUGGCCAAUUCUGUCAAGACCAACAAGAAGUGGAUACGCCUGGCCACUGUCUUUGCCUACGUAUUGUCUGUUUCACUGGUAGCCAUUGUACUGGCCAUCUACUAUAGUUUCUUUUGGCAAGCGUCGCAAAAUAUGACGACACCCGCUCCAGCUAUGGAAGCAACAUCACCAUCAAGUGUAUUGCCCACAGGUCAAACAUAGGAUGCAUACCAGUAGUAAACAAAUGGCUCCCAAUUGGAUACAGGAUGUGGCUCCUGUUCCAGCAUCACAAUGACGUUGCAUUGUGGGAUACUCCUGUGUCUAUCGUCACGUCUCCCCCGAACUAUGUGCCCACACUCUAGGAGCCCGACGUGGUGACAAAUGGGGAGAGUCAACCACCAAUAUGCAAAAAAAAAAAGAUUAAAAUUUAACCAACUUUGGAUUUACGGAAAUGAAUGCCGAAGUUGAACGUCGCAGCAGUUUGUUUUUUAAAGCAUCGUCGAGUUUUGAGAUACAGUGUACAUGUAUGAAAUGCGAUGUGACGUGUGAGGGCGACGUUUCAAGAUGACAGAGCUGUUGUCAGAAAUGGACGGCGCAUUAAAAACAUUGCACGGUGCGUGAUUUCAAGUUGAUGGUACCACUUCAAGACGACAUGGCACCAUCUAAGAAGCAAAA